rnacentral:rRNA from 1 species
UACGUAGGGUGCAAGCGUUAAUCGGAAUUACUGGGCGUAAAGCGUGCGCAGGCGGCCUGUCAAGACAGAUGUGAAAUCCCCGGGCUCAACCUGGGAACUGCAUUUGAAACUGCCAGGCUUGAGUGCGGUAGAGGGGGAUGGAAUUCCGCGUGUAGCAGUGAAAUGCGUAGAGAUGCGGAGGAAUACCGAUGGCGAAGGCAGCCCCCUGGGC